AGAGUUUGAUCAUGGCUCAGAACGAACGCUGGCGGCGUGGAUAAGACAUGCAAGUCGAACGGAGACUACUUAGCUUGCUUUGUAGUUUGAGUGGCGAACGGGUGAGUAACACGUGAGCAACCUGCCCAGAAGCGGGGGAUAGCUCGAGGAAACUCGAAUUAAUACCGCAUGUGAUUCUAUGUAGCAUUGCAUAGAGAUUAAAGGUGCCUUCGGGUGCCGCUUCUGGAUGGGCUCGCGGCCUAUCAGUUUGUUGGUGAGGUAACGGCUCACCAAGACGACGACGGGUAGCUGGUCUGAGAGGAUGAUCAGUCACACUGGAACUGAGACACGGUCCAGACACCUACGGGUGGCAGCAGUCGAGAAUCAUUCGCAAUGGGGGAAACCCUGACGGUGCGACGCCGCGUGGAGGAUGACGGUCUUCGGAUUGUAAACUCCUGUCAUCGAAGAGUAAGGUUUGCGGGUAAAUAGCCCGUAGAAUUGAUAGUAUCGAAGAGAAGA
rnacentral:rRNA from 1 species